rnacentral:misc_RNA from 2 species
AACGCACCUUGCGCUCCUUGGUAUUCCGAGGAGCAUGCCUGUUUGAGUGUCAUUAAAUUCUCAACCUUACAAGUUUUUUGAACCUGUAUGGCUUGGAUCAUGGGAACUGCGGGCUUUAACAAGUCGGCUUUCCUUAAAUGCAUUAGCAGAACUUUUGUUGCUAACCUCUGGUGUGAUAAUUAUCUACGCUAUUGGGAAGCGACAUGUUGAAGUACCGCUUCUAAUCGUCUGUCAUGGACAACCUUUGACAAUCUGACCUCAAAUCAGGUAGGACUACCCGCUGAACUUAA